GUGAGGAAUCUUCCACAAUGGGCGAAAGCCUGAUGGAGCAACGCCGCGUGAAGGAUGAAGGCCUUCGGGUUGUAAACUUCUUUUAUGAGUGAAGAAUAUGACGGUAACUCAUGAAUAAGCACCGGCUAACUACGUGCCAGCAGCCGCGGUCAUACGUAGGGUGCAAGCAUUAUCCGGAGUGACUGGGCGUAAAGAGUUGCGUAGGCGGUUUAAUAAGUGAAUAGUGAAACCUGGUGGCUCAACCAUACAGACUAUUAUUCAAACUGUUAAACUCGAGAAUGGUAGAGGUAACUGGAAUUUCUAGUGUAGGAGUGAAAUCCGUAGAUAUUAGAAGGAACACCGAUGGCGUAGGCAGGUUACUGGGCCAUUUCUGACGCUAAGGCACGAAAGCGUGGGGAGCGAACCGGA
rnacentral:rRNA from 1 species